rnacentral:rRNA from 1 species
GACGAACGCUGGCGGCGUGCUUAACACAUGCAAGUCGAACGAAGUGGCGAACGGGUGAGUCACGCGUAUUCAACCUGCCCUUCAGAGGGGGACCCCAGUUGGAAACGACCGCUAAUACCGCAUACUUAAGGAGGUGAUCGCGUCUGAUUGGCUAGUGGGAAGGGUAACGGCCCACCAAGGCGAUGAUCAGUAGCCGGUCUGAGAGGAUGAACGGCCACAGUGGGACUGAGACACGGCCCAGACUCCUACGGGAGGCAGCAGUGGGGAAUCUUCCGCAAUGGACGAAAGUCUGACGGAGCAACGCCGCGUGAGUGAUGACGGCCUUCGGGUUGUAAAGCUCUGUUAAUCGGGACGCGGUACCGGAAUAGAAAGCCACGGCUAACUACGUGCCAGCAGCCGCGGUAAUUC